CCGCACAAACCAAAACAAACCCAAGCAAGGAUAACACAAGCAACGAUGCGUCGCGAGGGACCGCAGCGCGGGUGGGUGCGAGUAUACAAUCUGGACCUGCUGAUCGACCCGGAGGCGGAAGGGGAACACAAGCAGCGGCGCGUCUCGGCGCACACGACCGUGGCGGGGACGUCGACGGUGGCCAAUGGCGGGUACAUCAGGGCGCCGCAGAAGCCCACCAACCACUCCAAGCCUUCCUGCGGCGGCAGCAUCUGCAAGGCGCUCAGCGGCAAGAGCGGCGGAUCGUCAGCGUCGGGGAAGGGGAGGCGCAAGUUCUGGCACGACAAAAUCAGGACGAUCUACCUCGAGAUGGCCGAUGGCAUCGACGGGCAGUUCGAUGAUGACAUGGAUUAGUUCAUCAGCGCACAUAUACAGCGUCGGCAUCGGGUUUAUGGGAGGAAGAGGGCCAGCUGACAGAACGAGAGAAAAUUCGAUGAGUUUGUAAAGCUGUGAUUUUUGUGAUGUCUGAAUCUUCUGUUAACGAGACGUUUCUUGUUAAAAAUAUAAUUACUGCACGUGAUAUUUGGUCUCAAAGUUUGAAAGUUUCUGUCGUGCCAUCUUAAGCGUUUAAAGUUCGAUUUCUAAAUUUGAGUGUUGCUAAUUUUCUGCUGUGCCGUAUUAAGUGUUCUAAGUUCAGUUCGAGUGUUGUUUUUUUUUCUUAUCUGAAAUUUUAAAAAGUCCUCGGUCAUUUUUUAUUUUAAGUAAAGUAGCGUUGCCUCUUUCUACGGGAUUCUUGCAGCAGAAGACAAUAAGAAGAGAGAAAAAACUGAGUCAUGGAAAUCCUAUUGUUCCCCGGCCGUCAAAAGAAAUCCUAUUGUUCUCACAACAAAACUUAAAUAUGCAUUGUCAAAAAAAUUUACAUAUGCAUUACAUCAUCGUCUUUAUAUAUCAAAGGGAGGACGACCGGGGUCGACCACGAGAGAAUACAAGGUUCAGAGAAACAAACUCGGAAAAGAAGAGAAAAAAGAGAGAGAGUUAAACAAGAAACUCAAGCUCAAGGAACAUCAUCAGGUCAUGAGAGCUCCCGCUUCCUGAAGUCACAACCGUUGCCAUGAUUCUAUCGACAUGAAUAAAAACUCAAAGAGAGAGUAGCAAGAGGAAUUAAAAGAAAAGCAAAACCAAAUAUAUUUCGGUGUACAUACCACACAUUUGUAGAACUCCUUCAGAAAGUUAUCCGGUGUUCGAGAGGUGUAUACCCUAACCCUCCUGUAGUUGCACGACGUGCACAUGACGAGCGACAUGUGAGGCCACACGCUCUUGCACCAUGCUCAAACUUUCUUUCCGGCCAUGGCACCCCACAAGACCAUUCGACUAGCUAGGCACCCCUUGAGUUGGAUAAAAAAAAAGAGGCCAUGAAGAGCAUUAAAGUCGGGCAUUAUCCGACGCCUGAACCCUUCAUCCGUUACAAGACACAAUGAACAGAGAGUAAAAGGACAUUAACCAGGAUGCCUUCACGACGAUAACGUUGCUGACUAGGCUAUUGUAUAAACUACCCUUUGUCGAAAUAUAUAAUGCAAGGAUGGAUCCCUAGCAUGGGGAGAUGACACUUAGACAAAACUCAUACUCUAUAACACAUCUCAUAUGAGCAAUCCCAUAUAAACAGGAGUAGGGUAUUACCUCUCUUGAGUUGAGGGCCUGAACUUGGGUAAAACUGCAUCAUGUGAAUCCCGUCGUACGUGUCGUCACUUGCAUACACCCAUUCUAUACACUACUGUAUGUCUACCCCAGUCGGCACACCAUGACAAGAAUCGACACUGGGAACGGCGGAGAUAGUGAUUUCGGAGUGGGGAAUUAGGGAUUUGGGUGUCGUAUUCGAGAAUUUGGGGGGAGGGAAUGUCAGUCACUGCGGGGAAAAAUUGCGCAAGGAGAUUUCUGGACAGGAAAAAAAGAUCCUACCUGAGCUCAUCAGUUGCCUCGUCAACACGCACAUGCUUAUCCGACGUGGCCCUUAAAAGAGCGGUUUGGACUAAACUAAGACAAUAUAAGUUUUGGCUACCGAUUUUAAGGAUUUUCAAGUUGUUGGACCAAAGUGAGUUGUAGUUGUUGUGCCACCGGUGCAAUUAUAUAUACUGUUACAAUGUUAGGACUAACUUUUCUUUCACAUAUAUACCUUUAUGACUAACUUGACUUAUGGCCUAUAUUGUGCUUCUUCUCUUUGAGCCUUUGAGGUAACCUGUACGGUGCUUUUACUCUGUUAACAAAAUGUUGUUUCAUAUUGAACAUUUUUUUACGUAUCGAUACAAUUUUUAUGAAUUUGAUGAGCAUUUUAUUUGAAAUGCAUGAUGUCUUUGUACUGAAAAUUGAAUUGACCUAUCGGGACAAUUUUGAGAUUGGCGAAAUUUUUUAAGGAAGCGUGCGCUACGCGUACUCCAGCAUAGCUCCUUCCAAAAAAAAAACCCCCAGCACAGUAGAAAAUUAAUGCCCAGAGGCCUAGACGCGUUCAUCUGUAACUGGUGGAUGCCGUGAUGAUAACGUAAACACACCGUGUCCCAGGUCCCAGCCCCCACUCCUGCUCAUACCAAACCGACUUGGACCCCAAGCAGCCAGCCGUAAUAGCGCUGACGAACUCGUGGAGUCGUGGCCGCCAAGGAACCGCGAGGAUUGCUAUAAAUACGGCACCGGCCGCUCCUCGUAUCGCCGCACAAACCAAAUCCAAUCCCAACAAGGAAAAAGAAGCAACAAUGCGUCGCGAGGGACGGCAGCGCGGGUGGGUGCGAGUCUACAAUCUGGACCUGCUGAUCGACCCGGAGGCGGAGGGUGAACACAAGCAGCGGCGCGUCUCGGCGCACACGGCCGUGGCGGGGACGUCGACGGUGGCCAACGGCGGGUACGUCAGGGCGCCGCGGAAGCCCACCAACCACUCCAAGCCUUCCUGCGGCGGCAGCAUCUGCAAGGAGCUCAGCGGCAGGGGCGGCGGAUCGUCGGCGUCAGGCAAGGGCAGACGCAAGUUCUGGCACGACGAGCUCAGGACGAUCUACCUCGAGGUGCAGGCCGAUGCCGUCGACGGGCGGUUCGAUCAUCGCUACUAUGACAUGGAUUAGUUCAUCGGCGCACAUAUGCAGUGGUGGCGUGGUGUUUCUGCGAGAAGAAGAUCAGGGGUUCAGGCAAGAAGAGUUGAGGAUCAGAUCAGGCAAGAGGAGCAAAGGUUGAUGGAUGUCUAGAGUGACUUCUGUGAUGUCUGAAUCUUCGUUAACAAUAACAAUGAGGCAAUGAGACUUUCUUGUGUUAAAAAUAAUAUAAUUAAUGUACUACAUAUUUCAUCUCUUUUUUUUUUGCGCAAACUGCAUAUUUCGUCUCAAAGUUUGAAAAUUUCUGUUGUGACAUCUCAAGCAUUUCAAUGCAACUUCUAAAUUUGAGUGUGGUUUUAAGUUCCGCUUUUGAAUUUGAGUGACGCUAAAUUCCUGUGGUGCCGUCUGAAGCACUUUAAGUUUGAUUUCUAAUUUGACUGUUGCUUUUAUUUAGGUGAAAUUGUUUUUAAUUCCCCAGUCCUUUUUUAGUGAUAGUGUUUAAUUUGCCCCUUCUUUCCACAGGAUUCUUGCAGCAGAAAUUCAAAACCACAACACAAAACAGUACAGAAAAACCACACGAAUGUAGAGAAAAGUGCUAAUACGUCAAAAGAAAUAUUGCGCAAAAUUAGCAUGUUAUCAAGAAAAUGCUUAGACGACAGACAGAGUUAGAUACAAUUGACAGGUUCAAUUUAGGAUCGGAGUGAGUAGAUCUGUCAUCACAAGAUUUCCUAACAUCAAUCUGAUGAACCUCGGCAUAUCGUCACACGGUGCGUGACAGUCACAUGGAACCAGUACCAAAUUUCUUCUUACAGAUGUGCAGUGUUGAACGCAGGCAAGACAAACAUUUUGAUUAAUCUACAAGUCCUGAACAAGGCAUGGCCUUAGACAAAUGGCCCCCACUAAGGCAAUCCAUCGUACUAAUCAGGAAUCUUACAACGUGGUUUCGACGGUGAUCACUGUAACUUGUCAGAGCUGUCCCUUAAUCAUCGCCUUUUUCAACUGUUAAUUCAAUACAAAAGAGCAGGCAGUGCGGUGCCAUAUUCACCUUGCAGCAUCUUCCAGUUGUAGCUCGCAACCAACAAUCAUUGAGGUUGCCAGGUUGGCUGGCUCCCCUGUUCCCAAGCUCCGACCUCGCACAACUAGACUAACCAUUCAUGAUGAUGGUGUAUGAGACAAAGCCAACACAUCUUAGUUACAGAAGUUCAGGAUGGAGACACUUUUCUGAUCUUGGUUUUGAACAGCAUCACGAUGAUCUUGUCCAUAGAAAAGUAGAGGAAACAACCUCUGGAGUGCGUCACGAAGGAGCCGUAGCUUGUACCGACAAUGCAGUGCCAUGUAGGUCCGUACACUUUAUCAAACUCCUGUUGAAUAUCAAGAAAGAUCCAUUAGAAAUUAAGCAAUGUAUUUUAUUUUCUUUCUAUUAAGCAGUGUAGUUAAAAUGGCAUAUCAAUAGUUGGCCUGAAAAGAAGAUUAGGUUUAUGCUGAGCAGAUCCGAAGUGCCAAUAUAGCACAUGAUGACUACAUUGAGUUCAACAUUACCAGCUGGCUACAACCUGUCUAAUUUGGCAGUUCAUAAAUUUGCCUCCAGAAAACUCACAUGAAAGAUAAAAGCAAAGAUUCAUUGGUGGAACAGAGUGGGUGCUUUAGAAAAUAUAAAACAAGAGAAAGAUCAAAAUUUGCAUGAAGCUCACCUUCUUCACAUCAUGGGCCAGCUGCCUCGAACUGAACUUGUCCAAGCUAUCAUGAGAUCGCUUAGCACAUCGGAACGCAUGCAACUGCAUGAACGGCGGCAUGUCUGCAGCCAUCACCUUCACCCCCAGCACCGCAACUACUUCUUUCAUGUUGAUCUGCAUCUCCGGCAUCGAUUUCCUCCCGGGCGCAAUGUCAAUGGUCUCCCUCUGUCCCAGGUCAGGAAGAUGCACUCUAGACUUCUCAAGGCAGAUAUCCUCAUCCUUCUGAAUGGUGAUGGGAUUUCGGGGCUUAACCUCGGAGGCAACGGAAUGGCUCGUCUCUUUGACGGUACCUCUCCACCUCCCACCGAAUAGCCACUGCUCUGCCUUUGUCCUCCUGCUACCAUGGCGGGCUGCCAUUCCUACCUAAGCGAACGUGUAUCCUUCCUUGCUGUGGUUAGCUGUGGAUCUCUAUAGUCCUAAAGCCAUCUAUAUAGCACUGUGGGGAAUGACAUGGGCAAACGGAAUCCUAUAGUGCAAUACUGAUUAACUAAUGGAUGAUGAGUUUGGAUUCUGUGCAAUGAGUGGGUGGGGGCAAGGGACAAAAUUUUCUUUACUUUGGAAAGGAGAUAAACAUAUAGAAAAGCGCAGACCAUGUGCAUGCUGCCUUGUUCUGCCAUAUGGUGCCCUGUAUGAUGGAAAAAUAUGGUGCAUAGAUUAGUUAAUGCAUCAAGGCCAGAUUUGGAGGAUCCCAAUGGCUCUUUAUGACAAGAACUACAAGUCUUCAAUCAAUUCACUAUGAAGCUCAUUCAUUAGGACAGCCUGCUUAUGCAAGGUUUCUGACAGAUCUUUUGUUUUCCAUGGCAAAUUUACUAAUCCAUGUUUCGUGUAGAAUUGUAAAAUGCCUCAAGUGAUGAAUGGUUCUCUCACCCUUGAGCAAUUCACAUUCCCACGAAGACUGGAACUUCUGUUUACACCAUUGAAUAUACACUGGCUAUAGCACUCAAUUUCACAGUUCAACCUACUUUCACAAUUCGAGCUCAAUGAUAGGACUGUAGAACAGAGACCAAUCACAACAAAUUAUUGGACAAGUAGCUCGUAGCUCACAGGAGUAUAAAUAAAAUAAGCAGAUAUUGAAAAUAAAAUAAGAUGUCUGUUUCUUGUGGUUUGCUGCACAUGGUAGGUAAACUGAAAUCAUAAGUUCUAAUUCAUACUUAUCUCUUGUUCUCAUAUCUGGCAAACUUAACUAAUGAAAUAUGAAAUAAUCAUAAUGAAGCAAUCUCAACAAUCCUGUAAUUCACACAAUUCUGUAGUGUUUCCUGUAUUGUCUGAUGUUCCCUUUACGGGGUCCUUAUUAGGUUAAGCCAUAUAUUCCUUCAUAUGACAGCAAACCCUCUUGCCUCACAUGGGGAAUGCUUCAGGUGUUGCAUGUUUCUAAAGAAUAGAGUGUCAAGUGCAAUAUAGCAUUCUUUCAAAUGUGAUUUGCGUUUUCAUUAUCAUGGUCUGCAAAUUGGUGCCUUUGAAACAAGGGAACUUUAAACUGCCAAGUGUCAAAAUUUGAAUACACCAUCAAAUUGAUAGGUCACACUUUUCUUGGAAGCUUGGGUAUUUAAGUAGAAAACAAUAUACUUGGAACUUGUAAUCAGACACACAGUUUGGCUUGAAAAGGUUUUUCCAACGUUCAAGUGACCGACUUGCUUCAGACCUGCCAUAGUUUGUAAAUGCUAACUCCAUAUUCCUAAGGAUCAUGUGAACAAGUAUCAUGAUGCUUAAAUAAUUAAUUAACUCUGCUAGACUGCUACCAACAAGUUUGAAGUUUCUUUUGUCCUCUCACUAGUCACUAAAUCAUUCCAUAGCCUCCACCUCAAUAACUGUUUCCUAGCUACAAUACGGAACAUAAUUGCUUCAUUGUCCUGAUUGCAAGGGAUUUUCAUAAAAUGCCUGUAGAAGAUGCUAGGAGAAAAGAUAAAUUUAGUACUACCAGAUAUCAUGACAACACAUUGUUAGUAAAAUCUUAAUGUAAACCUCUCCUAGUGCUUUUUGUUAUUCUCUCUUUAUAUCGAACCUUCUAAUUUUCUUGUCCUGAAGGCCCUUUCUGCACCUCAGAUUCUCAAAAUUUCUGAAUUACAAAGAUCACCUUUGCUCACCCAUAAAGUCACUGAAAUUGAUAUGUCAGUAAUAUUAUAUCAUAAAUAUGCUGCAUACCCAAUUUGGUUUUUCGAACCAUGGAUAGCACAACUGCAUGGAUUUGAUCAUUUGAUACCUUUUGCUAGUCAGUUAGAGUAUAUUAAGCCUCCAUGUUAACAAAACGGCACCAAUCAUAGUAAGUCAAACUACUAAAGCACAAAUAAUAAUCAACGAUGAAAAACAAAACACAACCAAACCUCCAAAUGCAAUAUGAGCAAUUCAACUACCCACGAUAGUUUACACAAAUUUCCUGCUUACCUGACGAAGGGGUGUUUCUAUGCUCUUCCACAACUAGUUUGCAUGAAUCAAAACAAUGCGCCGUGGUAGUUAAUCGUAAGGAAAGAUCAUUAAAGAUUACUUGCUACUACCAGUGUUCAAACUAAUUUGUCACUGGUUUAACUUUGAUGAAAGACAUCUACAAUUUCUCAUUUGAAAAAAAUGUGAAAAGGCAUGCAAAUGUACCUUUAAAACUAUGAAAACUAGGCGGCAAAAGGAUAGAGAAUACUUUUUUCGUGAGUACCUAGUUGAUGUGGGAACUGGGAUGUGAUAUGAACAAAAAUAUUUUGGUGUGACGCACAAUCCUGCAUGAACUGUCAAUUAUUUGGUGAUGUUUUCAUUUCGGUAGCACGUAUUGAACCAACAUCUACAUGGUGUCUUUUGAUCGUUUAUAGCAUGAAACCACCAUUGUCAAACUACAGUAUUUUCUUUUUUCUAUUUGAUGUUGAUGAUGAUCCAGUCCCAAAAAUGGACCAAAAAGGCAUAUUGCACUUGUUCAUCGGAUGUACCGUAUCAACUAUAACAACACAUCUAAAUGAUAGGCCAUGAGAGAUUGUUAUUUUCGAGGAACUGGCAGGAGCACUGCCUUCCAAUUUAGAGGAAAGAAUCAGUAUUUACAGAAAAAAGGUUUCAGAGGGGCCAAAACCAGCAUAAUCCCAACAAAAUACGGACUACUUGCGAAAGAAAAUACGACAUGAGAGUGCGAAUGCCGGCCAAGGCCAAAGCUGCCACCUCCCCAUAGGUCAGCCUCUUGCCGGUAAAGACAUGGCAGUUCCUUUCCGUCAAGAUGUUCCACAUGAGGUAGAUUAGGUUCCCAUUGCACUCCCAGGGCAUGCCUCCAAAAGACAGGGUCGGGACUUUCUCCCACCAAUUAUCGAUGUUCUAGGUGUGCGUUGUAUGUGUCAGGGCGGGGAGGCCAAGCCCUAUUCUCACCGUCGAGUCAUGGACCAAACAGCCUAGGAGAAGGAGCAGUCCUAGCAGAGGUGAGAGACCGUCUCGUUGGUAGUAAGGCAUAGGUGGCACAACAGGUUGUGUAUCCAUCCUUGGAUUGCCAGAUUUUCCAUGGUCAGGAAUUUCCCUUGGAGUACAUGCCUGGAGAAGAGCUUGUAUUUGGGCUCUGCUUCCACCUUCCAGGUCUUCCUGGGCUUGAAGGCUCUUUGCUCCCCCAAAGAAUUGAGUCACAUAGGCAGGAGGCUGUAUAUUCUCCCGAGGGAAGAUUCCGGCAUCAUCAACAUAUAGCAAGAUUUCCAUAAGGAUAGAGAGGGUCGAUCACAACGAUGAAUAGCACGAGUGAUAGGGGGUCUCCCUGCUGGAGGCCCCGGACAUGCCAGAAUGGAGUACCAGGGAUCCGUUGAGGAGCACGCGGGAAGACAAAGUGAAUACGGAGAGGGAGACUCAGUCCCUCCCAUCUUUAGCCAAAUCCCAGAUUCUGCAGACCUCGAGGAGGUGCGGCCAAUUCACAGAGUAACGCCUUUGAAAUGUCAAGUUUGAGGAACAAGCUGGGUUUUGCUUCAGUGCAGCUCUUUGAUCAGGUUCUGAACCUGCAAGAAA
rnacentral:lncRNA from 1 species